GAUGAACGCUGGCGGCAUGCUUUACACAUGCCAGUCGGACGGGAAGUGGUGUUUCCAGUGGCGGGCGGGUGAGUAACGCGUAAGAACCUGCCCUUGGGAGGGGAACAACAGCUGGAAACGGCUGCUAAUACCCCGUAGGCUGAGGAGCGAAAGGAGGAAUCCGCCCAAGGAGGGGCUCGCGUCUGAUUAGCUAGUUGGUGAGGUAAUAGCUUACCAAGGCCGUGAUCAGUAGCUGGUCCGAGAGGAUGAUCAGCCACACUGGGACUGAGACAAGGCCCAGACUCCUACGGGAGGCAGCAGUGGGGAAUUUUCCGCAAUGGGCGAAAGCCUGACGGAGCAAUGCCGCGUGGAGGUAAAAGGCCUACGGGUCAUGAACUUCUUUUCCUGGAGAAGAAACAAUGACGGUAUCUGGGGAAUAAGCAUCGGCUAACUCUGUG
rnacentral:rRNA from 1 species